CUUUGUGAAUAUGGUCUCUAAUACGGAAAUAAAAAGUUUCGGUGAGAUGGGAUCUCCCUGUCUCACGCCUCUGCAUAUCGGAAUAAUAUCUCCUUUCGCUUCCAGUUUUACUCUACUGGUGCUAUUCUUAUAUAAGUUUUUUAGGACGUUAAUGUAUUGAGUAUUUAUUUCGGCUUGGUAGAGCGCUUCCCAGAUAGAGUCGUGAGAGAUGGUAUCGAAAGCUUUCGCGUAGUCGAUGAAAGCUACGUAUAAAGGUUGCUUAAAUUCUCUAUAUUUUUCUAUUAUUUGUUGCAUCACAUGAAGAUGAUCCGUUGUUGAAAAGCCAGAGCGAAAACCAGCUUGCUCUAUAGGCUGAAUGUUUUCUAUUUUUGCUUUAUAUAUAGUGGAUAAGAGGCUGAUCGGGCGAUAGUUAGCAAUAUCCUUGGGGUCUCCUUUAUUAUAUAAUAAAAUUAUUUCAGAGCUUUUCCAUUGUGCUGGCGCUUCGCCUGUGGCUAGGACCAUAUUGAAGAGUUUUGUCAGUAUCGGAGUAAGUUGGGCUUUUCCAAGUUUUAGAGCUUCGUUUGUAAUGCCGUCCGGGCCCGGGCUCUUGUCCAUUUUCAGUUUUUUAAUGUGAGUUAGUAACUCUAUUGACUCUACAGGUUUAAUAGUUUCGUAUUGGUUUGUUGCUCUAUGUGGUUCGAUUUCUUGAAAGCUUUUAUUUGUUUGGCUGUAUAGCUCUCUAUAGAAUUGAGUUGCGUUGUUUAUUAUAUCUUUCCUUGUCUUUGUCUCUUUGUCGUUAGAUUUUAAGCUUUGUAUCCAAGUUUUUUGGGUAUUCAG